rnacentral:rRNA from 1 species
GAUCGCUAGCAGAACGCCUAACACAUGCAAGUCGAACGAUCCUUCGGGAAAGUGGCAGACGAGCGAGUAACGCGUACUUAACUUGCCCUCGAGACGAGAACAACUAUGGAGACAUAGCUAAUUCUCGAUAUGCUCACAAUGGUGAAAUUCCUAUGUGAGGAAAGAUUAUUGCUCGGGGAGAGGGGUGCGUCCUAUCAGGUUGUUGGUGAGGUAAAGGCUCACCAAGCCUAUGACGGGUAGCCGGUUUGAGAUGAUGAUCGGCCGCGAUGGGACUGAGACACGGCCCAUACUCCUACGGGAGGCAGCAGUGGGGAAUAUUGCACAAUGGACGAAAGUCUGAUGCAGCGAUUCUGCGUGGAGGACGAAGCAUUACGGUGUGUAAACUCCUUUUUUGGUAGAAGACGAAUGACGGUAUACCAAGAAUAAGGGACGGCUAACUAUGUGCCAGCAGCCGCGGUAAUACAUAGGUCUCAAGCGUAAUCCGGAUUUACUGGGCGUAAAGAGUCCGUAGCCGGACAUAUAAGUCUGUUUUCAAAUCCUAUGGCUCACCCAUAGACCGGGAAUAGAUACUGUAUGUCUGGAAGUUAUUGGGGGUUAGUGGAAUUUCAGGUGGAGCGGUGGAAUGCGUUGAUAUCUGAAAGAACGCCGAAAGCACAAGCAGCUAACUACAAUAAACUUGACCGUAAGGGACGACAGCUUGGGUAGCGAACGGGAUUAGAUACCCCGGUAGUCCAAGCCGUAAAUGAUGC